GUGAGUCAUCGAAUCUUUGAACGCACAUUGCGCCCGCCAGUAUUCUGGCGGGCAUGCCUGUUCGAGCGUCAUUUCAACCCUCAAGCCCGGCUUGGUGUUGGGGUUCUGUUUGUUCAAAACAGGCCCUGAAAUACAGUGGCGAGCUCACCUGGACUCCGAGCGUAGUAAUUAACGUCGCUCAGGGUGUCCGGUGGGUUUCUGCCGUAAAACCUCUCUAUUUCACAGAAAGGUUGACCUCGGAUCAGGUAGGAAUACCCGCUGAACUUAAGCAUAUCAAUAAGCGGAGGA
rnacentral:misc_RNA from 1 species